AGAAAAUGUCUUUCUUCUGACUCACCAAGGAAGGCGCUGUGGAUGUUUGAAUCCCAUAUGUGGAUGGCUCCUUCGGAUGAGAGGCAGUUAUCAUCCAGGAUGUUCAGGAAGGCAGCUGUGCGGCUGUCAUGAGUUGUUUCAACACAGUGAAGAGAAGCCAGGAAGCCCGUUUCUGACGGCAAAAAUGGAAGGUGAGGGGAGAUGCCACUGAAGGAGAAGAAAGUACAGCCCAGACUUGCUCUAGGGACUGUUUCAGACUGACUCUUUUGUCUCCAGAAUUGUAGUUCCAACCGCCCCAGUAAAGGCCUGUUUGAUGAAAUUUUCAGUGACUUCUUUCUUGGUCGAUGAGGAGCAGACCUCUGGCUGCUGUACCAGUAUCAGAGGAUCCACAGAUUUCAGAGCCAGUGCUUGACACCCCGUAACAUUCUCUUCUCUGGAAACUUUUCAUUGGGACUCAGAAAGAAUUAGGUCAUCCUCAUGAUGUGUCUGGAACUGCAAUUUACAAAUGUAACAACGGUGAGGCAGCCAUCUUCCCUGUGAACCUUGCGGAGGAGACAAGCCCGUGGAGAGGGAAGAGGAUAACAAAUCCGCAUGGAGAAGCACAGAUGACAGAUGGAGAAAGACACCCGGAGAAAGACACCUGGAAGCUUCGCUGGCCUUCAUUUCCGUUCCUUUCUAAAGCCCAGCACAACCACAUUCCUGUUCUUGCAGUCUAUGAAAUGAUACUAUAUCCUCAUAAUAAACCCUUGCCUCUCACCUUAUGCUCUACUCAGCUGCAGAUCACAGCCCCCCAAGGUUCAUUCGAUGGUGCAAACCCUCUCCUGGUUUUGUAGCCAGACCACUGCCACAUCUUUAGGCUUAGGUAUGGCUUCUAGCAGCCUGUGGAUUUCCUUGCCGUGUUUAAUUUCUCUGUUCUCACUCUUUAGCAGGC